AGUGAACGCUGGCGGUAGGCCUAACACAUGCAAGUCGAACGGCAGCACAGUAAGAGCUUGCUCUUACGGGUGGCGAGUGGCGGACGGGUGAGGAAUACAUCGGAAUCUACUUUUUCGUGGGGGAUAACGUAGGGAAACUUACGCUAAUACCGCAUACGACCUACGGGUGAAAGCAGGGGAUCUUCGGACCUUGCGCGAUUGAAUUAGCCGAUUUCGGAUUAGCUAGUUGGCGGGGUAAAGGCCCACCAAGGCGACGAUCCGUAGCUGGUCUGAGAGGAUGAUCAGCCACACUGGAACUGAGACACGGUCCAGACUCCUACGGGAGGCAGCAGUGGGGAAUAUUGGACAAUGGGGGCAAGCCUGAUCCAGACAUACCGCGUGGGUGAAGAAGGCCUUCGGGUUGUAAAGCCCUUUUGUUGGGAAAGAAAAGCAGCAGGUUAAUACCCCGCUGUUCUGACGGUACCCAAAGAAUAAGCACCGGCUAACUUCGUG
rnacentral:rRNA from 1 species